ACUGGGAAAGCCACAAGCAACAACAAACAAAAUUAGAAAGAAAGUGAGCGGAGAAGAUGAAAGAAGAAGACAAAUCAAAGACGUUUAGUGACCUUAUGGAGAUGGAAUGUCAUGUCAUCAACUUCGAUUUCAAUGUCGCUAGUGUUGGCUAUGUCUUCACCAUGCUUGACCCUUGGAGCUGGAUUUCUCUGACGCCAUUAAUGGAGACAACAACAAAGAAACUCUGAGUCUGAGAGGAAAAGAAAGCUCAGAAGAAACCAAAGAGCCAAUCUCUUUCUAAAGAAGGAAUAUGGAGAGAGAGAGAGAGAACAAGAGGAGAGGGUAAAGGGGGAAGGAAUUGGAAUCCUAAAUCAUGAGAAAGAGACACUUUUAAUAAAACAUUAUUAUUCGGAUUUCGAAAAAGGGGAUCUCGUUUUUUCUUCUCUUUAGUUUUUUUUUUUUAAUUUAGUCUUAUAUAGUUGGAGAACAGCAAGAAUCUCAACUACUGAUACUCUCAAGACGACACAUUUUCAAAUAGAUAAAUUACACUUUGGGAGAAGCAAAAUCCCACUCAUUUGUUAAUCAUUUACUAUAAAUUCAUAAUCUAGUUUUAUUAAAAAUUA